CACAAACCUCCUUCUGGCAUCUAGCAUAUCCACACGGCUGCUCUACAGGUGGAGGUACAGUAAACCCUGGACUGUAUGGGCUCUGAGGCUGAUGAGGCUGAGGUUCCCGCAAUAUAAAAUAAUCUGAUAUCUUAUAUAAAAGAGAAUUUUCCUGAUUGAUCCAUGAGGAAUGGAUGGGAACAGAGACAAGAUGGCCGAGAGGAUAUUAAAUCUCACCCUAGAGAUACUCUUCCAACUUACCGGAGAGGAUUACACAGUGGUGAAGAAGACCUCUAGUGAGCGCUGUCAGGCUCCUGUGUCUGAAGGA